rnacentral:rRNA from 1 species
GACGAACGCUGGCGGCGUGCCUAAUACAUGCAAGUCGAGCGGACCUCUUCGGAGGUUAGCGGCGGACGGGUGAGUAACACGUGGGCAACCUGCCUGUAAGACUGGGAUAACUUCGGGAAACCGGAGCUAAUACCGGAUAAUCCUUUCCCCCUCAUGAGGGAAAGCUGAAAGACGGUUUCGGCUGUCACUUACAGAUGGGCCCGCGGCGCAUUAGCUAGUUGGGGAGGUAACGGCUCACCAAGGCGGCGAUGCCUAGCCGACCUGAGAGGGUGAUCGGCCACACUGGGACUGAGACACGGCCCAGACUCCUACGGGAGGCAGCAGUAGGGAAUCUUCCGAAAGGGACGAAAGUCUGACGGAGCAACGCCGCGUGAGCGAAGAAGGCCUUCGGGUCGUAAAGCUCUGUUGUCAGGGAAGAACAAGUAUCGGAGUAACUGCCGGUACCUUGACGGUACCUGACCAGAAAGCCACGGCUAACUACGUGCCAGCAGCCGCUGUAA